UUCAACCCUAGGCUCUCUCUCUCUCUCUCUCUAUCUAUUUUCGCCAAAUUUUUCUAUUUCCCUCUCUGUGUCUCUCUCGCCUCUCAUCUCAAUUCUCAAGUUGGAGUUCACAUCUCACGCAGAAACAGAAUUUGCAAAUCCUUCCCCUUCAAAGUUCACACACACUGAGAAUCGGUGGGUCUCAACUCAAGUCUUCAGUUGAGUUCACAAAUUCUCACAGACUCUGCAAAUCCAUCUCUUUCACACAGAAUCUACAAAUCAGUCGACCUCAACUCUCAUCUCAUCCCGAGUUCCCCUUUAGUUCAAUACCUGUAUAAUGGGAUUCUUUCCUUUCCACUUCGUUCCAGGUUCUGAAAGAUGCUGAGGUAGCCUUACUUCAUGGCAGAUUUGGAACUUCUAGGUGGUGGAAAGGCCCCUAAAGCAAAUAUGAGUCCUCCCACAGACGAUAGAGGUUGCUCUGCUUGGGUUUAGUUUUAAGCGCAUUGAAAAUGGAGGGGAAAUUGAUGCCAGUGCACCUUGGGACUACGUUGAGAUUCAGAUUUUUCCAUCCCAGAACAGGUUAGGUUUUCGCCUUUCGGUAAAUUUUAUUCUUUUAAGGGUAUAUGUUUUCUCCUCUGUUGUAUUGGAUUAUAAAAGUUUGUUCUUUUUGUAUAUGCUACACUAAGUGCAUUAUUAUUUCCCGUUGGUGAUUCCUUUUGUCUGGUUAUUCCAUUGGAGAGUAACUACAUGAUUUUUUGUGUAUUAGAAUUGAUAAGUUACCUUUCCUCUCUUCGGACUUAUAAUAAAUUGAUAAAUUAUAAUGAUUUUUCAUAUUGUUGUAUAGUUCCCUACCGAGUGGAAGCACGAAAGACAUUAUCAAAGCUGAAAGCUACUUGAUUAUAAGCAGGUUAGAUUUCAAAAAACUUAUUUAUUAGCUUGUGCUUGCCUGGUUAUUUGUUUUUUUA